rnacentral:tRNA from 1 species
CCCGAAUAGCCUUGCGGUUAGGGUGUUCGAUUUAUAAUUGUUAACUCCGGGUUCGAGUCCCCGCGGGG